rnacentral:rRNA from 1 species
UACGUAGGGGGCUAGCGUUGUCCGGAAUCAUUGGGCGUAAAGCGCGUGUAGGCGGUUCGGUAAGUCCGCUGUGAAAGUCGGGGGCUCAACCCUCGAAUGCCGGUGGAUACUGUCGGGCUAGAGUGCGGAAGAGGCGAGUGGAAUUCCCGGUGUAGCGGUGAAAUGCGCAGAUAUCGGGAGGAACACCAAUGGCGAAGGCAGCUCGCUGGGACGGUACUGACGCUGAGGCGCGAAAGCGUGGGGAGCAAACAGG